AUGCACGCUGGCUACAGGCUUAACCCAUGCCAGUCGCGGGGAAACGACGGGGAAGCUUGCUUCCCCGGGCGUCGACCGGCGCACGGGUGAGUAACGCGUAUCCAACCUGCCUCUGACUGAGGGAUAACCCGUCGAAAGUCGGCCUAAUACCUCAUGGCAUCGUCUGCGGGCAUCCAACGACGAUUAAAGAUUUCAUCGGUCAGAGAUGGGGAUGCGUCUGAUUAGCUUGUUGGCGGGGUAACGGCCCACCAAGGCGACGAUCAGUAGGGGUUCUGAGAGGAAGGUCCCCCACAUUGGAACUGAGACACGGUCCAAACUCCUACGGGAGGCAGCAGUGAGGAAUAUUGGUCAAUGGGCGAGAGCCUGAACCAGCCAAGUAGCGUGCAGGAUGACGGCCCUAUGGGUUGUAAACUGCUUUUAUGCGGGGAUAAAGUGAGGGACGUGUCCUUCAUUGCAGGUACCGCAUGAAUAAGGACCGGCUAAUUCCGUG
rnacentral:rRNA from 1 species